rnacentral:rRNA from 1 species
UAGUACGAGAGGACCGGGAUGGACACACCGCUGGUGUACCAGUUGUUCCGCCAGGGGCAUCGCUGGGUAGCUAUGUGUGGCCGGGAUAAGUGCUGAAAGCAUCUAAGCACGAAGCCCCCCUCAAGAUGAGAUUUCCCAUUGCGCAAGCAAGUAAGAUCCCUCAAAGACGAUGAGGUAGAUAGGUUCGGGGUGGAAGCGUGGCGACACGUGCAGCUGACGAAUACUAAUCGAUCGAGGACUUAACCAAC